rnacentral:lncRNA from 1 species
AGUUCCUCUGGGGCCCAGUCCGAAGCACCGGUCUGGCAGCUACGACGUACCAAUGCUUCCUGCUCCCUAUUGGUGUCACUUGGAGAUUUGACUGUCAGCAUCACAAAAACAGCACCAGGAAAAGCCACAGGAUACUGCAUAAAGCCCAGAACGACUGAAAGUUGGAGUGCUUCUUUUCAGGAGGUACAUUUUUCACCGGUUUAUCAGCCUCUGCCUUCAUGGAUUACUGGGGAUAUAAGGACAUGUUCAGCUCCCAUCAUCCUUCUCCGUUUAGCUGACAUAAUUUACAGUUGGAUGCA